GGACGAACGCUGGCGGCGUGCUUAACACAUGCAAGUCGAACGAAGAGCGAUGGAAGCUUGCUUCUAUCAAUCUUAGUGGCGAACGGGUGAGUAACGCGUAAUCAACCUGCCCUUCAGAGGGGGACAACAGUUGGAAACGACUGCUAAUACCGCAUACGAUCCAAUCUCGGCAUCGGGACUGGAUGAAAGGUGGCCUCUAUUUAUAAGCUAUCACUGAAGGAGGGGAUUGCGUCUGAUUAGCUAGUUGGAGGGGUAACGGCCCACCAAGGCGAUGAUCAGUAGCCGGUCUGAGAGGAUGAACGGCCACAUUGGGACUGAGACACGGCCCAGACUCCUACGGGAGGCAGCAGUGGGGAAUCUUCCGCAAUGGACGAAAGUCUGACGGAGCAACGCCGCGUGAGUGAUGACGGCCUUCGGGUUGUAAAGCUCUGUUAAUCGGGACGAAUGGUUCUUGUGCGAAUAGUGCGAGGAUUUGACGGUACCGGAAUAGAAAGCCACGGCUAACUACGUG
rnacentral:rRNA from 1 species